GACCACGCAUACAUGGAUAGUGUCCUCAAAAGAACGAUGUGUGCUCCAGAAAAUAAACUCUUUUUUUAAAAGUUCAA